AACCUAGUAAACGAAUAAACUAAACUAGUAAACAACAAUGAACGAAUAAACUAAACAAACACAAAAUAUUCCCAUACAACAGCAACUACCACAUUCCUCCUUCGAGAGACUUCUGUUCUUAUCCACCACUUUUGACUUGUUGCAGACACACACUUACUUCCUCUCUUACCAAUAGCAAUUCUGUGUUUCAGUUAUGGCCACUAUGGAGAGCUUGAUCGGUCUUGUUAACCGUAUACAGAGAGCCUGCACCGCUCUCGGCGACUACGGCGGCGGCGACUCCGCCUUGAGUUCACUUUGGGAUGCUCUUCCGUCCGUCGUCGUCGUCGGAGGCCAGAGUUCUGGAAAGUCGUCUGUGUUGGAGAGCAUUGUUGGGAGAGAUUUUCUUCCCAGAGGAUCUGGGAUUGUCACAAGGAGACCAUUGGUGUUGCAGUUGCAUAAGACAGAUGGGGGAGAAGAAUAUGCUGAAUUUGGACACAUGCCACGUAGGCGAUUUACUGAUUUCUCUUUAGUAAGGCAAGAAAUUCAAGAUGAAACGGACAGAAUCACUGGGAAGUCGAAACAAAUAUCCCCUAUUCCAAUUCAUCUCAGUAUAUACUCUCCUAAUGUUGUGAACUUAACCUUAAUUGAUUUACCUGGAUUGACGAAAGUUGCUGUUGAGGGACAACCUGAAAGUAUUGUAGAAGAUAUAGAAAAGAUGGUUCGAACUUAUGUUGAUAAGCCCAACUCCAUCAUACUAGCAAUAUCACCUGCUAACCAAGAUAUCGCAACAUCUGAUGCUAUGAAACUUGCUAAAGAGGUGGAUCCAUCAGGUGAAAGGACCUUUGGUGUGUUGACAAAGCUUGAUCUAAUGGACAAAGGAACUAAUGCGUUAGAUGUUCUUGAAGGCAGAGCGUAUCGUCUGCAACAUCCCUGGGUGGGAAUUGUGAAUAGAUCCCAAGCGGAUAUUCUGAAAAACACUGAUAUGAUUUAUGCAAGGCGAAGGGAACAGGAGUACUUUUAUACGAGUCCUGAUUAUGGACACUUGGCUAGCAAAAUGGGUUCUGUAUAUCUUGCAAAACUUCUCUCUCAGCAUUUGGAAUCAGUAAUAAAAGCAAAAAUACCUGGUAUUAUCGCGUUGAUAAACAAAGGUAUUGAUGAGAUGGAAGCCGAAUUGGACCGUCUUGGGAGGCCAAUUGCAGUUGAUGAGGGGGCUAAAUUAUACACCAUUUUGGAACUUUGCCGUGCUUUUGACAAAAUAUUUAAGGAGCAUCUAGAUGGAGGACGCCCUGGAGGUGACCGUAUUUAUGGAGUAUUUGAUAACCAGCUUCCUGCUGCUUUGAGAAAACUUCCAUUCGAUAGGCAUCUUUCCCUACCAAAUGUGAGAAAAAUAGUUUCUGAAUCAGAUGGUUAUCAGCCUCACUUAAUUGCUCCUGAACAAGGCUAUCGACGCCUUAUAGAAGGCGCAUUAAAUUAUUUUAGGGGACCCGCUGAAGCUUCUGUAGAUGCAGUGCAUUUUGUCUUGAAAGAACUUGUCAGGAAGUCGAUUGGAGAAACUGAGGAAUUAAGGCGGUUUCCAUCACUUCAAUCUACUCUUGCUGCUGCAGCUACUGAAGCAUUGGAAAAGUUCCGUGUGGAAAGCAAAAAGACAGUUUCCAGAUUGGUGGAAAUGGAGUCUUCUUAUCUCACAGUCGAUUUCUUUAGGCGACUUCCACAAGAAGCAGAGAAAGUUGGGCCUGGGCCUGGGCCUGGGCCUGCUCCCUCACAUGCAGACCGCAGAAACCCACCUUCUGCAGACCGUGGAAACCCGAGUGACCCAUUAGGGGACCGUUACGGAGAUGCCCAUUUCAGAAGGAUCGGCUCAAACGUAUCAUCUUAUAUUAAUAUGGUGUCUGACACGCUCAGGAUCACAAUCCCCAAGGCGGUUGUUUAUUGUCAAGUCAAAGAAGCGAGGCAAAAUCUUCUCCAUUACUUCUACACACAAAUAGGAAGGAAGGAGGGUAAACAACUGGGGGAGUUACUGGAUGAAGACCCGUCUCUGAUGUCAAAGAGACAGGAUCUUGCUAAACGACUCGAGUUAUAUAAAGGAGCAAGAGAUGAGAUUGAUGCUGUUGCAUGGGUGCGGUCAUAGUGGUAUUCUGCGAGUCCUGCUCUCGUUUAUUGUUUAUUUAACUCUUACUAUCGAAUAUAUGCUUUGUUUCUUGUCGAGAAAUGGAACUGCAUUGUGUACAUCUGUAACACUUUCUCGAUAUGUGUGUGCGCUCUCUCUCGUAUGUAUAUAGACGUGGGUUAUAUGCUGACAUCAAGAUUUGUUUCGUGUUUUUAUGUGGAAUUGGGUUUUAAGGUGCAACUGGUAACGUUUGGGUUUGUACGGACCUUUGAAAUUUUUAUUAAAAAUUUGGAUUUUUUUAAUUAAA